AUUACUUGAUAGUUAUUUGAUGAUACUCAAGAGAAGCAAAGCAACGACAACAACCACAAAGACUAUCGUAAAAUGAAAAAAAAAAACCAAAAUAUGAGAAGACAAAAACGUUUUUCCGCUUACGUAAUCAGUGAGCUUGCAACUCUCUGAAGGACACUCGAAAAGCGCUCAACUACAACAGCAAACAGCAGCAGCAACAGCAACAGCAACGGCAACCGCAACAUAAAGAGUAACCAAAACAGCAAUGUGAAAAUGUGUUAAAAUCGAGAGUGUUAUAACAUUAAGCGCUGCCUGCUUGUGCAACAAAUGUGAUCAACUAUCACCCAGCUUGCCUGUCUGCCCCACUUUUACUUCAAUAGAAGGCGGAAAAAAGGCAACAUAUCCAAAUGCAAAGCAAAAACCAUAAGCGUAAUCGAGCCAGACCUCGACUGCUAGCCAGUUGUUGUGUUUGUUGUGUUGUGUGCAGCAACCCGACACGUUUACUUGCAUUUUUAGUGCCCCACACACAAACACGCAUUCAUUCGUCUAUCUGUAUCUAUAUCUAUAUCUAUGACUGUAGAUGUAUCUGUAUCUUUUUGGCUCGUUGCGAUUUCAUUACCUCAUCGGGCGACGCCUUUAAGAGUACAAGAAGUUACAACAGCUUCGUCUGUCUGUCUCUCUGUCUGGUUCAGCUUCGUUGCUCUCUACUUUGAUUUCACAAUCAAAACUCGCUGCUGUCCACUGCUACUGCUGUAGCUUUAGAUCUUGUAGUAUUUAUUUUCGAUAAUCCUUUAGAUUUGCACACAAUCCUUUUUUUAACCACACAUUAUGACAUUGACAUUGAAAGGUUUCUUGCAAAUAAUAAAUUACCGGCUAAUUGAAAGAUAACAGCGAGGGUUAGGCAUAAGGAAUUUUAAGUAUGUCGCCACGCCCAAUUACCCAUUAAUAAAAACUCGUUUCAUCUGGGCCAUCAAAAGUCAGUUGCCGUCAUGCUGUUGACGGUUUUGUAUUUCAGAUUCAUUUUAUUUUUUCUUUGAAUUUUUGGUUUUGGUUAUUCAACUCGAACUCAAAUCAAAGCUCAACUAGCAAACACAAAAAAACCAAAAAUUUGCUAGCGCCGCUGGCUAAUUGCGUGUUAUGCAUUUUGUUGUAUUUGGCCGCAAGGCAAUUUCGCUGCUUACUUUUAAUUGCCAACAAUUUUAAAGUUAUUAAACUUAACAACAGAGUCGGCGACUGCCAGCGCAUAAACAUUUAAUGGGCCUAAACAACGAACGAACGCACGAACGAAUGCAGUGCGCAUUGUCAAGUUCAAGUUGCUUGUUGUCCGUUGCCACUACUUGUAUUAUUAUUAUUGUUGCUGUCGUUUGGUACUGUUUGGCAUAAAUUAUGCAACAGCACUUGUUCGGCUUGAAUGGGAACUCAAAGGCUGGCCAAAUAAGCAAACACUUGGCCCAAGUGGAGCUGGGUCCCAACAACACACACAAUUGUUGCCACAAGCAUGCUAAUCACAGCAAUAAACAAUUUAAGCGUUCAAAAGAUUUCCGAAAAGCGACGAAAAACACAAUAAAUUUCCGCAUUUGGUUGCGCGACUUUUUUGAUGCUGCUUCUUUCAAAAUAAAAGCAAACAUAUAGAUAUAUUUUCGUUUUCUGUUUUCUGUCUUUUUUGCAUUGGCUGCUGUUGCUGCGGUUUAGUAUCAAGCAGAAACAGCAACAGCAACAGCAACAGUGGCAGCGGCAGCAAAAAGCGUAGCAAAUACAAACAAUAUAUGUCUGUGUAUAUUUUGCCAUUUUGUUAUUGCCACACCGCAACAAUAACAACAGCAACAGCGACAGUGGCAGCAGCAAGUCACGCUUGAAAAGUUUUUAUUUUGUGGCAACAAAAUCAAAUGAAAUGGCCAACACAUACAGCUGCGCGGCCUGCUAUAGGUUGCAUUAGCAGUCCAAAAAUACAUACAAGCACACACUCUUACAUUUUGUUUAGCUGGGUAUCUGUGCUGAUUUAUGGGGUCAGACAAGUCUGUGAAUGUAUUUGUGCAUGUGUGUGUGAGUGGGAGAACAAAACACAACUCUUAAAUGCGCUGACGCUUCUCGAAAGUCAAUUUGCAUUCCACUUUUGGUGGCAGUGGCAACGAUUUUGGCGCCUGCUCAGGCUGUCGUCGAUGCGCUAAACGGAUUUAUUGCUCAAUGUGACGCGUCAAAAACUAUUGAGGAUUCAGCACGAUGACGCACAACAACCAAACAACAGUGAUAGUAAUAGUAACAGCAACAACCAACAACCAAGAAUAGGCAAACAAUUCAAACGCAGAUUAACCUACAUACGUUGCAUGCCGUCAGCAAUGUGGGUAAAUAUUUAAAUAUCAUUACGGUUUGGUUCUUCAGGGGUUGGCUAGCUGGCAAGCUAUAAAUGCGAAUGCGAGCCACAAUAUGGAAAAACUGUUUUUGGAAAAGACCAAGACAGCAACAACAUUUAGCGGAAAUGCUGCUAAAGAGUUGGUAUUGUUGUUGGUGCUGUGUAAAUACCAAUUCUAUAUGGCAAAGAGGCUAUAGUCGAAGCCAAAAGUAAAAUGAAAUGGAAUGAAAUGAAACGUGCUUAAAUGUCAGCAAUUUUCUUGAUUUAUAUGGCCGGGCGAUGUCUUGGCUUUAGUACAGACAUACCAACAAUGGCAACAGCCACAACAACAACAACAACUUCUGCAACAAUAACAACAAAAUUUGCCACAGGCAAAUGAUAGAUAGUUACAAGUGCCACAGACACCUAUUGUGAGUUGGCUUUGUCUAGCAAAAAAAAAAGAAACGAAGAAAAAGCACUGUGAUUGCAGCGCUUGCUGCUAACGAUUAUGAGCCUGAAAACAGAGCUCGCCACUGUAGAUAGUUCUUAGAUGGAUAGAUAGUCUAGCAAAGAAGUCCUAGCAGUUGACUCAAGUGUGUGUUUGUGCCUGUUUUUCAUUGGAAUUGGAAGCCCUUUUACGAGAAAGAGAGAGAAAGAGAGUGUAAGCACUUCUAGUCCGGGGUUCAAUGCGCUCGUUGUGCUGUUGAUAUUCAAAUUUAUGACUCACUGUAGCGCAGGCUGCAUGACAUGAAAUGCAAAUUUGCCAUUAUUUGUCAUGAUAGUAUUUUUGCAGACACGUACAUAGCUAAAAGCGACAUGAUAUGGAUAUGGAUAUGGAUCCUAGAAAGGAGACAGCAUUGAUGAAUGAUCAAGUAGUGCAUAUACUUAACAUAUCAAUUACAUAUCACAGACAUCGAUACAAAUUAUGCUAUUAAAAUGUGCACCAGAGCAGCUUUUACUCUCUGGACAAUUUGGAAUUAAUUGGCUGCAGUUUAAUAAGCGCUCUGCCAUGCGAACGAAUAUCGCAUAUCAUUUUGCAUUGUUGUAAAUAAAUAAUGCAACUGCAAAUUGUUGUUCAAGUUAAAUUAUUAAUUUAUUUUUUUAUUUGCAUCUUGACAAUGUCUGUCAUUUAGGUGCAACAUAAAUUAAUUCAUUUUCUCCUCGUUUUUUGCUCCUUUGCUGCGUUAUGAGUCGCUUUAUCAACUUUAUAAUUAGUGUGCGUGUGUGUGUGUAUGCGUAUACAGUUUUGGUUAAUUAAAUGAUUAUGUUAAUGGACGACCGGAUGAACAGCAGUAGAUAAACAGCAACAACAACAACAUGAAGCUGAGUAGCAACGAUGCUCAUUCAACCGACAAGACCAAUACAAUUGGCGGUUUUACUGUUAAAAUGUCAAUAAAAAUUUAUUAUUUAAAUACACACACACUCGCAUAAAUACAUAUUUCCACAAUCACAGACACCAAAAGUAUUGUUUACGCAAUGUGGCAGCAAACGUUAAAAAACGUAAUUAAGCGCGCAAAAUUGAUAGAUAAAACAAUUAUUGCAAACAGCAAAUUAAACAACAUGCAACAUGCAACAUGCGGCAAUCUGUCUAACUAUAGUUGUUAAUUUAUGAGAUUGACCAUUUGACAUGCGAAUGCGACACAAAGCAAAAAAAAAAAACCCGAGAUACUAAUAGAUAGAUCAAGGUGUGCCGGCCGGAACUGUAGCCAACACAGUCAACACUUGCGAAACAUUCUCAGCUCAAUCUCUGAGUGGGUUAGUAAGUAGUUUUCCCGCAUGGGUUCUGGUUCAACCGGUUUCUAGAAAUCACAAACACACUUCUAGUCGCUGUGUUAUGUAUUUCGCUUUCAUUUCGCGGCCCCCUUCUAGAACAGAUUAUUUAACAGUUAAAAUAUUCGAGAUAUUUGCGAAUGACAUCAGUUUGUGCCAAGGUUGUUUGUUAUGAUUGUCAAUUCAAGGAAAUAGUCUCUUAACUAAUUCAGAUCACACGCUCGCUAAUCGCGUGUAAUAUUGAUCAUUUUUAGUUUCUAUUCGAAUGGCAGAAUUUAUUGUGUAUACGCCCCGUGUAGCUAGCGGUCAGUGGCAAACUGCAAACUUCUGCUGAGAGGUAAUUGUUUAGUUAACAUGUGGUAUUUACAGUGCGCGACAAAAUACACACACACUCACACACAAACAGAGACAUACUUAUGUACAUAACUUAAUGUAAUCAUCACUGUGGGCAUCGACUGCAACAGCACAAGCAAACUAUGUACGCUACAUAUGUAAGCGCAUUAGUGCUGUGGUCUGCUGCUGCUGCCAGAGUUGCCAGCCGCUGGCAAUACAUAUUCCCAUACUAAUACCCUUUUAGACUCACAUUCCCAUUCACAUUCCCAUUCUCAUUUCCACUUGCAUUGCGCUUUUUGCGCCGUUGCUUCAGUUGCUGCAACAACAAACUAAAUUAUUAUAACUGUUGGCUUCUGCACUCACAGAGUUCGUUUUGUUUGUUAGUUGUUAAAUGUUGUGGCUACGAAUAUGUGUGUGUGUGUGUUCAGCUUCUAAGUGCACAUGAAAGUGGCUGUUUGAAAUGUUUAUUAGCUGACGCACCUGAGCUUUGCAGCUGAAGCAGCUGCUGCUAAAAAUACCAAAGAUUAACUCUUAAACUAACUAAAAACUCUACUGAUAAUGAGAUGCAUUAUAAUUUUUGCAAAUUGCAAAACAAUUCAAUUCGAAAAAUACCAAAAAUCUGAAAAACGAAGCGUAAUAAACAGUAAACAAAUGAACACAAAACAAUACCAAAUAUGGAGGAGCAAAAAUAUGCUGCUAUUUUAUUACAUUCAAUUGACUAAAAUAGCUUUCAAACUGGCUCGACGAACGAAAGCCAAAAUAAUAUUGUGUGUAUGUGUGUGGCAAAUUAUAGCAAAAUAUAUAUGUAAAAAAUUAUUAUGAACUUGUUUACAUAUUCGUACUCGGUAUAACGAGCGUGCGUCUCUAUAAAUAAAUUCCAUAUAAAAACAAAGUUUUUAAUUAAAUUCUGCAAAUUAUUUUACAAGCGGCGAACAGUUUUGAUUUUCCUGUUCUCUGCAUAACAUACUCAUUUUUGAUAUUUGAUUAGUUUGCACAACAUGAAAAUUACAUGUUGUUUAUGCCCGAGAUUCUUUAGUAUACAUACAUAUAUAUUUUUUAUUUUUCAUUAUAAAUUUUUUUUUGCACCGAUGUUGUGGCUGGCAAUGAUGCGCGCUUAGAAGGCUGAUUGGAAUGGUAGAAAUGGCAGAAUUACAGCAAUGCAGCUCACUUUUGAUUGAGCAUUUGAAGUGUGACCGCAGUUUUGCGGCUUUGCAAUUAGAUUAUCACACACACACAGAUCGAGCGGGAUUGGGGCAGGUCGAAUUUGGGGUGGGAAACUCAGUAUUUUGUAUUUGUUCAUUUCAACAGAAAUUGUUACUACGUUAUACACAUGGAUAAUUAUUUGUUGGCGCUGCUGACAUUUGAUUUCGAUUUCAAAUGAAACAAAAUUAAACGAAAUUAAAUAAAACGCAUUGCAUCCCAGUAAAAUACCGCAUUAGUUAGGUGUAUAAAUGCAAUUUAGUUCGUUACGCUUUGUGGUUGCACUCAGCCCCCCGCUUCUCCGCACUUUAAAAGGGGGACAUCUGCUCUGACGCGAGAAAGAGAAAGAGAGAGGCAGCGAUAAGUCCUUGGUGGCGCGUUUCAGGUGCUUCAACUCUGCCACAGGGUUCAGCUUCAGCAGCGGUGUAGAUGUCGAUAUCGUUGGCUGUGGCUGUGGCGGGCGGUGACGGUGUAAUUUCAUCGCCAAAAAACAACAAAAACAAAA